rnacentral:lncRNA from 1 species
UUCUUUGAAAAGAAAUUUAGAACUCAUACCUAACAACUCUUCCUCUUGUAUUUCCUUACAGCUUUCUUUUCAAACUUUUUAAACAUGUCUUAGCUUAGUUGUUUUGCUUGAUUUUCCAAAAGAAGAAGCUUCUCUGGAUAAGGUGGAGGAUAGCUAAGGGAGGUUUUAGUAAGUGCCGUUUUUAUGAACCUCUGCAUCGACUUACGGAUGCAUGGUAUGACACAGCACCCGACAAGAAUAAGUAUACCUAUUACGGGUGUGAGGUAAAUUCUUAAGACUCAUCUGCAGAAUGUCUCUUAGGCUGCAUAAAAUACAGACUUUGCACAAAACUUGGUCUAAAAUGAGUAACUUGAAAAAAUUAUUCUCCUACUGACAUCAGCUCGUUGAGCUUUAAUUGUGCCUCUGAUUUACAUGAGAAAACAUAAAAGGGAGUAGAAAGUUACAAUUAAAGGAAGGAAAACAGUCCCUUUCAGCUACUGCCACAGAUCUAUUGUACAGAAUACUUCUCUAUGGAAUACUUCCUCUAUGGCCACAGGCCAGUUCCACUCAGCACUCCUCUCUUUGAAGAGGCCACAAAUCUGACUAAUUUUCAUUUAACUUCAUGGGGCAAGGAAGGGGGCUUCACAGAAUUUCCUAAUCUGUUUCUCUUUAUCAAAUACAUAAUCACUUUUUCUAUCUGCUGAAAAAUAAACCUGCAACAAAAUGAUCAAGACAGUAGAAAAUGCUGUUAUUAUAUUAUUUGAUUGGAGAGCAAAGGCUAAUUUUUGUUUCCUAUUAUAUUCCUUUUGAUUACUAGCACAUGGCAACACUCUGAACACAGUAGGUGCUUUUUGUGUCUAUUAAACUGGAUUUGAGGUGGCACCUGCUCUGUACAUACAUGCCUUUGGUUUGUUUCUUUUUUGCUUUUCAAAAGAUUCCUAUGCUUCCUCAGUGUUGAGACUACUUUUUCUGUUUUCUUUCUCUGGGAUUCAGAGACACUGAGUUCUGCUCCUGGAGUUAUUUAUAGUUUUGGUAGCUAGGUCUCACAUACCUCCUUUGUGCUUCCAAGAGUGUUGUAGGAGUAUAUGUUCUGUCACUGCAGAUGAUCUGUUUUCAUCAUAUUAACAAGGAGAUGGCUGACUAGGUGCUGUGCUUCCCUUUUAGUUGUUCCUUUAUAUUUUUAUGAAUUAAUUUCUGUUUACUUUUGAUAAUUUUCUUAACAGACAUUUGUGCCUCUAUGCAAUCAUAUGUGUCUGUUCCCAUAAGCAGCAGCUUAGUCAAUCACUCAGGGAAAUACAUGCAUCUCUAUGCAUUCACCAGACUGAAGUUCUCCCAGAAACAAGCCCCUGUGCUUCAUUAAACUAUUGAUUUGGUUGUCAUAGAUCAGCUGAAAUGUAUAUCCUUAAAAUGAAGGGAAGUCUCAUGAAGCACUUACACUUAUUAUCUGUUUAUCUAAAAAAAUCAGCAUGUAAAAUUCUGACUUAAGGUUAAAAUUUUCUCUGAAGGGUCAACAUUCCAAAUUUUUACUUAGAUUAUUAGUUAGCUGCUCUGUUGAAUUCUCCCCUCUACCUUAUAGAAAUAAAAUAUUUUGGUUGUUGUUGUAAGAAAGAAUCCAUCAUAUCCAUAUAAAGCACCAAGCCACAUGUUUAGCAAUUGUUUCCAAUAACAAAGUAUGAAACUUGAGAAUGACCUUGGAAGUAGAAAGAUAACUAGUCCCAUGACUAUUAUGCCUAUAUUGUGCCUAUUAUGGGCCACUUGCAGUACUAGACCCCCUACAUGCAUUAUAUCAUUUUAUCCUCCCAACAUCUGACAAUGAAAGAAAUGAAGGCAAAAAGAUUAACUUGGGCAUAUGCUAGCAAGUAGCAGAGCUAGGAAUCAUAUCAAGUUUUUCCUAAGUAUGAAAUUGUUAUUUCUGGAGACAUCUCUCCAUUUAUCCCACAUAUUCUGAUUUGUAUAGUUUGGGGAGUGAGAGGUAGUUUUCCAUAUUUUAAUGUAUAUAAAUGACCUAUGCAGAACUCAAAGGCAGAAUUAACAAGGAAGUGAAAAUAGUUUUAUUCUUCUAAUAUCAUGUAUUUCCUUAUAUAUUAAGGAAGAAUUGGUCUCUGUUUAGCAUAACCAUUAUUAAAAAUAUUUAUGUGAGAAAAAAUGUGUCUGGAACUGUUAGAAAUAUACAAUUAAAUAUGUUAUUUGUCCACUUUAUAUGAUAUUUAUGCUAUAUGUGUCUAUUUCUCCUCCUUGCUUUUUAGGUUAUCAGCAUGAAAAUCAGCCUCUGUUUCUAAGAAAUUCUAAAAAUAUUACUCACCUAUGCCUAUCAUGUCCUGCCACAUUAUAAUCUUGGUUACAGCUCUCAAAAUGUCAGAGCAGAUCAUGAACUAAAGAUGUGUCAUAGGUAAAAUCAUUUAAAAGGCAAAUUCAACAUAAUGAACUGAAGAAAAAAAUCCAACCAUGAGAAUAGUUGAUGUUGACUAUAAUUAAAAAAAAAAUAGCAUUCUUUACAAAAUGCAAAACUGUAUGAGCACUAGGAUUAAAACUGCUAAUCCCUUUCUUUUCCCCAGACCUCCCCAGCUAGCCAUAAAUUCCAUCUGGCCCAUUGCAGGGGGCCCUGAUUGCCUCCUGCACUGCUGGAAUUCAGGCAGGAUGGAGAUAGACAGUUUUCACCCCAUGAGUUGGUGAGUUCAGAAAGAGUAUUGUGUUGCUCUGGACAAGCAAUCCUUCCAAAUUUUAGAAACAGUCUGGGGAUGUGUAUUCAAGAAAUCUGCUCCCUUUUCACGUUCUCCCUAGUCCCUUGGAAGGGACACCCAUCUGGGCUGUCCAUCUGUCCAGAAUUGGAUUGUGGUCGCCAAGUCGCUCUUCCCUUCCGGGUGAUUGAUUCAUGAUCAUCAGUGAUCUUCAUCACAUCCGCAGCUCCCCUGGGAGCCGAUAUAUAUUUUUAAAAAUUAACUGAGUGCCUUAACUAGUAGCUGUCGGUGAUACAGUGAGAGAGAAGACACUUCAAGACAGUUGGGAUGACAGACAAGUAAAAAGUAAAAGGAGCUACCAUGGGGAUGUGCAAGAGGCGGUUUGAAAACACCUAAUCUCCCCUCUACCCCCACCGACACCCCACUUGGAGGAUCAAGAAAGGAUUCCUAGGGGAAGUGACAGUUAAGCUAAGUCCCGUAGUAUCACCAGGAAUAUUAGAGGACCAGCCAGAUGAAGAGCAAGUAGGUAACUGGAGGAGCCCUGAGGAAGGACCUAGGGAGGGCAGAAUGAUGUCAUCCACAAGCAAGGAUCACUAUAUGGCAAGAUCCAGUUGGGAGACAGAGAUGGUGGGGAACUCAGAGAAGUGCAAAUGGCUGAGCAUAGCUGGAGAGAAAAUCAUCUGCCACGGAAGCCCUAGUCUGGCAGGAAAGAAGAGUCAUUAGGCAUCAUCUGGCAACUUGGCUUGGAGAAGUCAGAUCAGUCACCAAGAGUCUGGUGGGGCUGCAGCAAUGGCUAGAAAGAACCAGUGACAUGAUUGCCAGAUAGAGUGGUCAGAGAAGACCUUUCUGAGGCCAUGGUAUUUAAGAUGAGACUUGAAGAGCAACAAGAAGCUAGACACACAAAGCAGAUAAUUUUUUAAUGGCCAUUUCUGGAGAGAAGUUUCCAAGGGAUGAAGUUAUUAUACAGUUUCCAAAUAUUCCUGAAGAGGUCUAAAGAAAAUGUAUUCUGAUUCCACCUUUUACCUGUUUUCCUUUUUUUUUUUCUCUCUCUCUCUUUUUGGAAUUUGUUAUUUGGAUAUAGGAUACACUAGGCUGGUGCUCCAAUUUUCUUAUAUUUUCUGUUUUCCUUGAAGUUUUAGGGGACUUUCUGAACUUUAUUUUUCAAAAUUCAGUUGAGUCUUUAUUGUUUUCCAAAUAUCAACAUUUCUUACCCAGACUAAUGAACUAGCCUACUCACUCAUCUUUCUGAUCCUAUUCCUCUAUAUUAUCCACCCCAAUCCCAAGUUAAUUCUUGUAUGGUCUUUUUGAAAGACUGCAUGAGGUUUUUUGUUUUUAUUUCUGCUUAAAUUAUUUGCUGAUUUAUUUGCACUUAGGAUACAGGCCUAAAUCCUUAGCUUUGCUGACAUCAUGAAAGAUGUGGGCCCUCCCUAGCACUCCAGUUUCAUCUUACAUCAUGCCACUCUUUGGUACUUUAUCCUUACUGUCCAGCUUCAUUUCCUAGAGUGUCCUGUGACCCUCUUGACUCAGAGCCUCUGCACGUGCUGUUCCCUGUGUUUGUCUCCUUUGUCCAGCUCUACCAACUUCCUUUAUCUCUCAGUGUUCAGGUGUCAUCUCAUCUCCAGCAUGAAUUAGAUGUCUUAUCUUGUGCUUCUCAUUGGGCUAUACUGUAAUGCUUAGCACAUUAGUCAGUUCCCUCAUUGCUAUAAAGAAAUACCUGAGGCUGGGUAAUUUAUAAAGAAAGGAGGUUUAAUUGGCUCACAGUUCUGCA